rnacentral:rRNA from 1 species
UACGUAGGGGGCAAGCGUUGUCCGGAAUCAUUGGGCGUAAAGAGCGCGUAGGCGGCCAGGUAAGUCCGGUGUGAAAGUCUCAGGCUCAACCUGGGAAUGCCGCCGGAAACUGUCUGGCUAGAGUCCGGAAGGGGCCAGUGGAAUUCCCGGUGUAGCGGUGAAAUGCGCAGAUAUCGGGAGGAACACCAAUGGCGAAGGCAGCUGGCUGGGACGGUACUGACGCUGAGGCGCGAAAGCGUGGGGAGCGAACAGG